rnacentral:lncRNA from 1 species
UGCUCCUCAAAGCAACUAACGAGAUUUUAGAAGCAUUUAAAACUUAAAACAGUCUCACUGACAUAAAAGUAAGACAAUUAUAUUCCGUCCUGUUCAGUUUUAUUUGUACAGCAACAAAGCACAACAACAGUUGUGCUCAAGGAUCUGGUGGACUGAUUCCUGACGCCGUGGGAAGCCAGCACCGAAGUCUGUGCACAGCCCUCUUAGAUGAGGCCGAAAAGACCCAGACCGUGAAUUCGGAUUCGGGCCGGCGUUCUUAGUCUGGUCCAUGGCGGUGGGAUUCAGUCUGAAGAUCCGAACCACCAGUGAGACGUCUGAGGGUGAGAAACACUAUUUUGGUAUAUAAAACGGCCGCAAAGGUUUAAAGAAACAUGAUAAAUUAGGUUUAAGUUCGCCAAAAAGAACUAAGUUUAGACUGGUUUUAGAGGUAGCCGAAAUUACUUCAUGCCAAAUUAAAAUACGUUUAGGCAAAUUAAAACACAAAUUAAAAUACCUUUAGGUAAAUUAAAACACGUUGAAACAAAGAAAUUAAAAUAGGUUUAAGUUCGCCAAAAGGAACUGUGUUUAGACUGGUUUUAGAGGUAGCCGAAUACUUCGUGACAAAUUAGCGCGCAAAUGUCUGUGUGUGUGUGUGUCUGGAAGUAAGUUGAUUUUUACAGCACAAUACGCUGCUAAACUACAUGAUGGAGAAGCUAUAUUGAAUAUGAAAGUGCAAGUCUUUGCCACUGUGGGCAAAGCACGCAACCACUGUGUGAGGUUGCGUUGCGGUCUCUUCUGAGCUGAUGAGCAAGCUACACAUUAUCAGAUCGGGAGCUGGCUGAGAACUCAUCAAAGAGAGGGAAACAGAACUAUGAUAACUCGAGUAUGUAGCGUAUCCGUGAGUUCAGCUUCUUCAGGCAGUUUUCCUGUAUCUUGACUCGUGUGUAGAGUGUUCAUAGCAUCAGCAUCAUGUUUUUGUUUAUUUGUUUUGUUGGGUUGAAAAAUAACUAUAUAAACUUGUGAUCAUACUUAUGGAUCACCAUGGCACAUAUCAUCAGCCAUAUGAUUAUUUAUGCAGAUGAAAAAAGUGAGUGUGAAUGUGCCUGAUGUCACAGUGUGUGUGUGCGUUGUGUAAAAGUAAUUGCCUCCAAUUGUGAGAGCGGUGAUUCUGCAGGUCACCAUGUAAAAAAAAAAGGAAAAAAAUUUACAUUGUAGAUGAAAAAUAAUCAUACAAAAAAGGUUUUGUGUUUAUAAGCCAAGAACAACUACAAUGUCAUUUUCUGCUUUUAAGAAAGGAGAGUUUAAAAAAAAAACAGAGAGAGAGAUGUGUGUUGGUUAAGCAGUAAUAAUAAUAAUGAAAAUG